rnacentral:rRNA from 1 species
UACAGAGGGUGCGAGCGUUAAUCGGAAUUACUGGGCGUAAAGCGCACGUAGUCGGCUUUGCAAGUCGGUUGUGAAAUCCCCGGGCUUAACCUGGGAACUGCAUUUGUGACUGCAUGGCUGGAGUGCGGCAGAGGGGGAUGGAAUUCCGCGUGUAGCAGUGAAAUGCGUAGAUAUGCGGAGGAACACCGAUGGCGAAGGCAGCUCGCUGGGACGGUACUGACGCUGAGACGCGAAAGCGUGGGGAGCAAACAGG